rnacentral:rRNA from 1 species
AUUGAACGCUGGCGGCAGGCCUAACACAUGCAAGUCGAGCGGAUGAAGGGAGCUUGCUCCUGGAUUCAGCGGCGGACGGGUGAGUAAUGCCUAGGAAUCUGCCUGGUAGUGGGGGAUAACGUCCGGAAACGGGCGCUAAUACCGCAUACGUCAUGAGGGAGAAAGUGGGGGAUCUUCGGACCUCACGCUAUUAGAUGAGCCUAGGUCGGAUUAGCUAGUUGGUGGGGUAAAGGCCUACCAAGGCGACGAUCCGUAACUGGUCUGAGAGGAUGAUCAGUCACACUGGAACUGAGACACGGUCCAGACUCCUACGGGAGGCAGCAGUGGGGAAUCUUGGACAAUGGGCGAAAGCCUGAUCCAGCCAUGCCGCGUGUGUGAAGAAGGUCUUCGGAUUGUAAAGCACUUUAAGUUGGGAGGAAGGGCAGUAAGUUAAUACCUUGCUGUUUUGACGUUACCAACAGAAUAAGCAACGGCUAACUUCGUG